CAUCUACUCCCUCCGUUCGGAAUUUACUUGUCUUGAAAAUGGAUGUAUCUAGAACUAGAAUACAUCUAGAUACAUUCAUUUCUACGACAAGUAAUUCCGAACGGAGGGAGUAGUUA
rfam:Triticum aestivum genome assembly, contig: Triticum_aestivum_CS42_TGACv1_scaffold_641713_T_2BL-0.251571_3B-0.201786